AUUGAACGCUGGCGGCAUGCUUUACACAUGCGAGUCGAGCGGCAGCGCGGGGGCAACCCUGGCGGCGAGCGGCGAACGGGUGAGUAAUGCAUCGGAACGUAUCCUCGAGUGGGGGAUAACCCAGCGAAAGUUGGGCUAAUACCGCAUGAGCUCUGAGGAGGAAAGCGGGGGACCUGCGAGGGCCUCGCGCUGGAGGAGCGGCCGAUGUCCGAUUAGCUAGUUGGUGGGGUAAAGGCUUACCAAGGCGACGAUCGGUAGCUGGUCUGAGAGGAUGAUCAGCCACACUGGGACUGAGACACGGCCCAGACUCCUACGGGAGGCAGCAGUGGGGAAUUUUGGACAAUGGGGGCAACCCUGAUCCAGCCAUGCCGCGUGAGUGAAGAAGGCCUUCGGGUUGUAAAGCUCUUUCGGACGGAACGAAAUGGGCGGGACUAAUACUCCUAUCUGAUGACGGUACCGUAAGAAGAAGCACCGGCUAACUACGUG
rnacentral:rRNA from 1 species